rnacentral:rRNA from 1 species
GACGUAGGGGGCGAGCGUUGUCCGGAUUUAUUGGGCGUAAAGAGCUCGUAGGCGGCUUGUCGCGUCGAAUGUGAAAUUUUAGGGCUCAACCCUGACAUUGCAUUCGAUACGGGCAGGCUUGAGUUCGGUAGGGGAGACUGGAAUUCCUGGUGUAGCGGUGAAAUGCGCAGAUAUCAGGAGGAACACCGGUGGCGAAGGCGGGUCUCUGGACCGGUUCUGACACUGAUGCGCGAAAGCGUGGGUAGCAAACAGG